UAAUACCACAUCACUUAAUUACACCUAAUCACACCAGUUCAUAUAGGUACACAUUGAUUAUUCAACAAGCGACCACAAAAAUCAGAAAACAAAGGUGAGGCUAAUCAGAAGGGGAACCGAGAUGGUCGAGGGCAGUCGAAUCCGGACGGAUCCGGUCCGGUGGAGGCAGAUUCGGAGGCGGCACAUCAAAUCCCUCGACAGGAGGAACAGACGAGGCCGAGGACGGUCGAGGGCAGCCGGAUCCGAUGGCGGCGCGUCAAAUCCGGCCACGGGGAGGAGCAGACGAGGCCAGGGGACGGUCGAGGGCAGCCUGGUCCGGUCCGAUGGAGGCGGAUUGGGCGGCGGCACGUCAAAUCCCGCCACGGGGAGGAGCAGACGAGGUCGGGGACAGUCGAGGGCAGCCAAAUCCGCUUGCAGUGGCGAGGCUCCUUGCGCGUGCUUCCUGCAUGACCAAGGGAAAAAGGCUAAGAAGGUGAGGAGGAGACAUGAAGAAGGAGAAGGAGAGGCGCUGGAGCCGGUGUGGGUCGCGCCGUGCGCGAGGAAUUGGGCGGGCGCUGAGCUGAGCCCGUGGAGGAAAGAGGAGUCGGGAGGCUCGGUGAUGGCCUCGAUGCCAUCUGCAUCCAUAGCUGGGGGCGUUGUGGGAUGGAGAAGAACGAGUGGGGGAGAGACGAGAAUGAGCGGUGCUGGCCGAGAAGAG
rnacentral:rRNA from 1 species